rnacentral:rRNA from 1 species
AUGCAAGUCGUACGGGAGUUUUUAACUCUAGUGGCGGACGGGUGAGUAACACGUGAGAAUUUGCCUUUAGGAGGGGGACAACAGUUGGAAACGACUGCUAAUACCCCAUAUGCUUUCGAGUGAAAUGGAUUUAUAUUUAUCCGCCUAGAGAGAAGCUCGCGGCUGAUUAGCUUGUUGGUAAGGUAAGAGCUUACCAAGGCGACGAUCAGUAUCUGGUUUGAGAGGACGAUCAGACACACUGGAACUGAGACACGGUCCAGACUCCUACGGGAGGCAGCAGUGGGGAAUUUUCCGCAAUGGGCGAAAGCCUGACGGAGCAAUACCGCGUGAGGGAAGACUGCCUAUGGGUUGUAAACCUCUUUUUUCAGGGAGGAAUCAAUGACGUGUACCUGAAGAAUAAGCAUCGGCUAACUCCGUGCCAGCAGCCGCGGUAAGACGGAGGAUGCAAGUGUUAUCCGGAAUCACUGGGCGUAAAGCGUCUGUAGGUGGUUUAAUAAGUCAACUGUUAAAUCUUGAGGCUCAACUUCAAAAUCGCAGUCGAAACUAUUAGACUAGAGUAUAGUAGAGGUAAAGGGAAUUUCCAGUGGAGCGGUGAAAUGCGUAGAUAUUGGAAAGAACACCGAUGGCGAAAGCACUUUACUGGGCUAUUACUAACACUCAGAGACGAAAGCUAGGGUAGCAAAUGUGAUUAGAUACUCCAGUAGUCCUAGCCGUAAACAAUGGAUACUAGAUGUUG